CCCCUCUCAGGAUCAUACCUGGAGAGUUUCCAGUAUUCUACCAGUCUCAGCUAUGGGAGGGAGUGUCAAGCAGAGGCAUACCCAUUUCAUUCCUAGUUUGGACAGUGGCUAGAGAGUGGAAGGCAAUCUGCUACAAGC